UCUCUAGAGCAGCGGAGCGCCGCGGCCAGCCCAUCCCGGAGCCUCGGUCCCGGCCGGCGGGUGGAGGGGCAGCAGACGGGGAUUCGAGCCCGGCGGGGACAGAGAGAGGCUGGCGGGGUACGAGAGGGCGUGAGAAGGGGAGCGAGGCCAGGAAGGGGAGCCAAAAGGGAGGGAAAGGCAGAGAAAGAGCCCGGGAAGAAGGAGGUGGCGGGCAGAGGAACCCAAGAAGAGCGAUGUGCUGGGCCCCAUCCCUGCUGCUCUGGCGGGCAGGGGCCGGAAGAUGGUGGCCAAUGAGGAGGGGGAGUGGAGAGAACUUGAGCCAGGGCCUCCCCUCCCCCAUUUCCUCCUCUGUUUCUACACCCGCUUCUGGAAGGAGCUGGGGGGAUGGCUCCUAGGCCCAAGGUGGGGGAGGGGUCCUGCUGGCUGUUGAAUUGCUGGUCUCCCCUCUCAGGAAUGAGAUGGACACGUGAGCUCCAAGGGACUCAGUGUCCAGCUGCCUCUCCCUUCACUCCUUAAGGAAAGAUCUGGGGACUCCUUGAGGAAGAACCUUCUUUGGCUACUGUGAAGCUGACUGGGUAGUCUCGUCUUUGUCCCUUUGCCCCAUGUUGGUCUGGUCCAGUUCCCAACUGGCUUGCCCAACUCCAGGAGCAGAGAGGCCUGGCGACUGACCCAAGCGGGGCCUUGGUUUCCGUCCAUUAGAACUGUGCAAACUGGGGCAGGGCCCCGUGUUUGCAGAUUACAAGAACAAACUCUGCCUGGGAAGGCGGGAAAGAACCUCUCCUGCUUCCUGAGGGGGUGGGAGGAGGCUGGAGGGGGAAGCCCAGAGGAAGAGCUCCCGAAUGGAAUUCAGUCCUCCAUUUUUCCUGCUUGUUGCAGUGGAAAGGGGGGGGGGGUGUCUCCCUUGAGGCUGCUCCCAUGGUCUAAAUGGAUCUCCACAGGGAGGAGUCUCCUCUCAGGCCCUGUCCCUUUGGUCAAAACUGUAGCUGGCUUGUGACUCUAGAGCUCUGCAAGGCUCUGCAAGUCUUUGCGUCUCCAAGUGCACCUGGCUUUGAGUUUUCAUCAAUCUCCAUAGUCCUGGGAUUGAGGAUGAUGGUCUAGAGAUUGCUUUGAAGACCUCAGAAAAGGAACUGGGAGCUUCUUUUCUGCCUAAGCGCCCAUUACACUGGUCCUGGAGUUCCACCACCUGAGACAUCACUUUGAGACCUCCAAGGCUUCUUUAUUAAAAAUGAAGAGGUUAACUUUAGACUGGAGACGAGUAGAAGGUUCUGUGCUUCUGGGUGGCAAGGCUCUCUCUGAAAGGUUGCAGGCAGACAUGCACCCUCAUGCUAUUAUCGCUCGGACUAUUUAAAAAAAACAAAACAGUUAUUUCUUUUGAGGAGUAAGUUUCAAAUGCUGGGAAUCCCUCAGCUGCUUCGUAUGGAUCUGCACCAACACGCCUCAAGGAAAAAGGGUCUUUGCUGGUAAGGAAAUGAGAAAGAGAGGAAGGCUGUGAGCUGAGUGGGCCAGGGACUGGGAGAGGGUGAGGAGGCAGGGCCGGCAUGCCUUUGCUGCUGGCCGGAGCUCUUUUCACAUUGUGCUACUGUCUUCACCUAUAACGAGCAGUGCAAUGUUAAAAGGGCAUCGGCCUUGUAGUGCUACCCAGUGCCGGCAUCCUCCUCAGCAUCACUGGUUUUCCUCCCGUCUGGGCACCAGUCAGCUACCCUGGUGAAAAUUUGGAUCCAUGGAGCCAUUUACUUGUGCAGUUCACAGGCUAGACAUCAUGGCAUACAUCGCCAUAAGCCUGUUACUAAUUGGCAAGCAACAUCCCCAUUUCUCAGAUGAAAAGAACGGGGUGGGGGGGCCCCUCGGGUAGAAAAGUAUAAGCUGUUUGGCUGAGGCUGUUGAGCUCAUAAGUUAGAACUCUGUCCUGAGCCCAGUAGGAAAGUACCCAUCUUUUGUCAGGAGAGAUUUGAACUGAGGGGGUGAAAGGUUUUAAUGCCACCUGCUGGUUAUGGGAGGAUGUCCUCUGAAGUCUUCAGUGUUUAAGGAUAAGCCUAGGGGCAGCUCAUUAAAUGAAGAAGGUCUGAGUUUUCAGACGAAGCUUGGUGUGGACAGUUGGUGAGGUGUGGGAGAAAUUUUAUGAGGCCCACAGAAGACUUGGGAAUAAGGAGGUACACAGGAAAGGACAGUUGCCUAGACAAAGAGGCUUCGGUAUCCCUAGUGUCCUCUGCCUCUUGUUAUGUGGGGGAAGGAGGUCCCUCCAUGAAGUUUUCAGCGUGACCUCCCCAUCACAUCACUUGAUAGAGAUGACUCUUGAGGGCAGACCUGCCUGGGCACCCAAGAUUUGGGCAGCAUUACUUAUGGUCUUAAAAGAUUAAUCUCUUAAGCCAGGCCCAGAGUCUUCUCAUGCUCCACAGCCACGCCAUUUACUUUUCUGUCCUUCACAGGACUCCUUGAGCGGUUUUGACCUUGCUCUGGUGCGGGAAGUGAGACCAGGAGAUGGAACUGAGUCUCUACUAGAGUUUAAGGAAAGAAGAUAAUUGGUAUCAAUGAAACUGAACAGUGGGUCAGACGCUCUUUCUUUGGCCCCAGCUCUCGGACGUUUCUGACUUUGCACUUCUGGGCCUGCCAAUUCUUUGUCCUGCCCACAGUCUCCAUUCUGUUAACAGUAUUUGAGAUAGUAUAGAUAACUCCACAUCCAUUACUUCAAGCUAUUAAAGUUAUCCGAGCUUCCCUGGACAUAUCUUUAAUCCCAGCACUUGGGAGACAGGUAAAAUCAAGUGAGCUGGAGACUAGCACAUCUAUCUAUAUCUAUCUAUCUUAGAUAGAUAGAUAUAGAUAUAUAGUUCCAGGCAAACUAGAGCUACAUAGAACAUUUGCCUGUGGGCCCCUCCCCCAAACAAAAGCUUCAUGCCUGGCACAAAACAGCUAUUUGACAAUGUCAGCCUACUCUUUUUAAGUUUUGGGAUGGGGCUGUGGCUCAGUAGAUAACAGCAUGCAGGAAGCCCUGGACAACAUAACAUAAAGCCAGAUAUGGUAAAGCAUGCUUGUAAUCCCAGCAUUUGGAAGGUGGAGGCAGGAGGAUUGACUUUCAGAGUCACAUAGCAAGUUAAAAGGCCAGCCUAGACUAUAUAAGAAUGUUUAGCCGGGCGGUGGUGGCCCACGCCUUUAAUCCCAGCACUCAGGAGGCAGCCAGGCGGAUCUCUGUGAGUUUGAGGCCAGCCUGGGCUACCAAGUGAGUUCCAGGAAAGGCGCAGAGCUAUACAGAGAAAUCCUGUCUCGAAAAACCAAAAAAAAAAAAAAAAGAAGAAGAAUGUUUAGGAGGUACAGUAGUUUGUCCAUGCUUCCAUGCUGUCCUUGAUCAGCCUGUGGAUCUUGAUCCCCUUGGCAAACCUCUUAACUCCAAAAAAUACUUACAUUACCAUGAUUCAUAACAGUAGCAAAAUUACAGUUAUGCAGUAGCAACAAGAAUAAUUUUAUGGUUGGGGGUGUCGCCACAACAUUCAGAACUGCAUUAAAGGAUUGCAGCAUUAGGAAGGUCGAGAACCACUGUUAUAAAGUGUACAGCUCUUCUUUCUCCCAUUUUAAUCUCUUAUGUCUCAUCCUCUUGCACUCCUAGCCACAGAAAAACACAAUUUCCUCAAAUUAGCCAAGUCUGUGCCACAUCACACAGUUCUGUCUGAAUCUCUCUUGCCCUUUGGCCUGCCCAUCUUUCCAUCAUGGUCUCUUCUGUGAAGCCAUCCCUGACUCUUCAGAUCUAGGCGAAAUUCCUCUAGCUUCCUUCUGGCCACUGGACUGAGAGCUCCAAGAAGUCAGGCCAUGGCUGGCUUGCUCGCCAUGCAUCCCUGGAGUUCAACACAAUGCCUGGCAAGUAAUAAGUACCUAUAAAUAUUUGCAAUGUCCAUGAGUUGCUCUGGAAAUAAUUAUGUAACUUAAUAGAUUUUUACCAUACAUACAGUCUCCCCUGUAGGGGCUGGGCUGCUCCAAAUCGAAAUUUCAUGUCAGUGCACCCCAACCAUGUUUCUUACAUCACACUUUGGUGUUGAUACUAGAGCUUUGAGCUGUAUCCCACUACGGAUCAACUGCCAGCAGCAUCUCACCCCAUAAAUUUUCAUUUUAGCCUCAAGGGUAUCCAUGAGUUGAUUAAAACAUUCUAGGACCAGGCCAAAAAAAAAAAAAAAAAAACGAGGGGACACAAGAAACUAUCAACUUGUGGAAUAAGUUUGCACUCACUGCUUAUCCCGAAUCCAGAUAAAAAGUAGCCUCAUUGGGGAGAAGUCCUGGGGACUGAAAACAUUAGAUGCUCCCCAUGGACAAGCUCAUCAAAACCCAUGCCUCAUGAUUCACUUGGAUGCUUACAGCUUGUGAAACAGGUGGAGAAUCUU